AGAGUUUGAUCCUGGCUCAGAUUGAACGCUGGCGGAAUGCUUUACACAUGCAAGUCGAACGGCAGCACGGGAGCUUGCUCCUGGUGGCGAGUGGCGAACGGGUGAGUAAUGUAUCGGAACGUACCCAGUCGUGGGGGAUAACUCUCCGAAAGGAGAGCUAAUACCGCAUACGUCCUGAGGGGGAAAGCGGGGGACCUGCAAAGGCCUCGCGCGAUUGGAGCGGCCGAUAUCGGAUUAGCUAGUUGGCGGGGUAAAGGCCCACCAAGGCGACGAUCCGUAGCGGGUCUGAUAGGACGACCCGCCACACUGGAACUGAGACACGGUCCAGACUCCUACGGGAGGCAGCAGUGGGGAAUUUUGGACAAUGGGGGCAACCCUGAUCCAGCCAUUCCGCGUGAGUGAAGAAGGCCUUCGGGUUGUAAAGCUCUUUCA
rnacentral:rRNA from 1 species